CAGCAGCCGCGGGAAUACGAGGGGUGCAAGCGUUAUUCGGAUUGAUUGGGUGUAAAGGGUGUGCAGACGGCUCAUUAAGCCACUUGUUAAAUUCUUCGGCCUAACUGAAGGUCUGCAAGUGAUACUGAUGAGCUAGAGGGUGGAAGAGAGAAGUGGAAUUCUCGGAGUAGCGGUAAAAUGCGUAGAUCUCGAGAGGAACACCAAUGGCGAAGGCACUCUGCUGGGCCGACACUGGCACUGAGAGACGAAAGCUAGGGGAGCAAAUGGGAUUAGAUACCCCCGUAGUCCCUGUCUCUUAUAC
rnacentral:rRNA from 1 species